rnacentral:lncRNA from 1 species
CAGGUAUAGAAGUACAGUUCUGACUGAUUUGCUCUUCCUUUAGUGGUAGUUACGUGUACAAUUCAACAGAUAUACUUUGAUUUACUUAAGUUUACCCAACAGGAGAUGUUCUUCUGGUGGAAAAACUAUGCCUAGAGAAGUACAGGUUUUCUCAAGGAGAUGUUAUUAUAUUCCGGUAGAGUAGAUAGAACUUACUGAUUCACCAUUUUUACACAUGGAUGCUUCUGUUUCCUUGAAAUUCCUUCCUAUGUUCAUUUUACAUAUGAAAACAAUGAUAUCCAGAUCACCAAUUAACCACAAGCAGACAUGCGUUAAGAGAGUUGUAGCAUUGGCAGGUGAGUGGAUUACAAUUCCAGAGUCGCAUGACAUAGUGAAGAUCCCAGAAGGUCACUGCUGGGUCGAGGGAGAUUAUUCAGCUUCAAGUUUGGAUUCAAGGUGUUAUGGUCCUGUAAGUUUUUACACAUUGAUGAAUUGAAUUAUUAAUUCAUGCAAUUGGAGAAGCAAGAACUCAAUUGUUGGCUUUUUUUUUGCCUGUAAUGCAGAUUCCCAUGGGGUUGAUUCAAGGUAGAGCCACCCAUUUGAUCUGGCCUCCUGAAAGGAUGGGUGAAAUAGAGAGGAAGGUGCCUCAA